rnacentral:rRNA from 1 species
GAUGAACGCUGGCGGCGUGCCUAAUACAUGCCAGUCGAGCGAACAGACGAGGAGCUUGCUCCUCUGACGUUAGCGGCGGACGGGUGAGUAACACGUGGAUAACCUACCUAUAAGACUGGAAUAACUUCGGGAAACCGGAGCUAAUACCGGAUAACAUGUUGAACCGCAUGGUUCAACAGUGAAAGACGGUUUUGCUGUCACUUAUAGAUGGAUCCGCGCCGCAUUAGCUAGUUGGUAAGGUAACGGCUUACCAAGGCAACGAUGCGUAGCCGACCUGAGAGGGUGAUCGGCCACACUGGAACUGAGACACGGUCCAGACUCCUACGGGAGGCAGCAGUAGGGAAUCUUCCGCAAUGGGCGAAAGCCUGACGGAGCAACGCCGCGUGAGUGAAGAAGGUCUUCGGAUCGUAAAACUCUGUUAUUAGGGAAGAACAAAUGUGUAAGUAACUAUGCACGUCUUGACGGUACCUAAUCAGAAAGCCACGGCUAACUACGUG